rnacentral:rRNA from 1 species
UACGAAGGGGGCUAGCGUUGUUCGGAAUCACUGGGCGUAAAGGGCGCGUAGGCGGCUUUAUAAGUCGGGGGUGAAAGCCCGUGGCUCAACCACAGAAUUGCCUUCGAUACUGUAGAGCUUGAGACCGGAAGAGGUAAGUGGAACUGCGAGUGUAGAGGUGAAAUUCGUAGAUAUUCGCAAGAACACCAGUGGCGAAGGCGGCUUACUGGUCCGGUUCUGACGCUGAGACGCGAAGGCGUGGGGAGCGAACGGG